rnacentral:rRNA from 1 species
UACAGAGGGGGCAAGCGUUGUCCGGAUUGACUGGGCGUACAGCGCGCGCAGACGGAUGAUUACGUGCUUUGUGACAUCUCCAAGCUUAACUGGGAGGAGCCAAGGUACACGGGGUCGUCUAGAGUGGUCGAGAGGGAUGUGGAAUACCCGGUGGAGCGGUGAAAUGCGUAGAGAUCGGGUGGAACACCAGGGGCGAAGGCGGCAUCCUGGCGACAUACUGACGUUGAGGCGCGAGAGCGUGGGGAGCAAACGGG